rnacentral:rRNA from 1 species
UACGGAGGGGGCGAGCGUUAUUCGGAAUUAUUGGGCGUAAAGGGCGCGUAGGCGGCUGAACAAGUCAAAGGUGAAAUCCCUCGGCUCAACUGAGGAACUGCCUUUGAAACUGUUCGGCUUGAGGCCGGGAGGGGGUAGCGGAAUUCCCAGUGUAGCGGUGAAAUGCGUAGAUAUUGGGGAGGAACACCAGUGGCGAAGGCGGCUACCUGGACCGGUUCUGACGCUGAGGCGCGAAAGCGUGGGUAGCAAACAGG